rnacentral:rRNA from 1 species
UGGCCAUGGAAGUUGGAAUCCGCUAAGGAGUGUGUAACAACUCACCUGCCGAAGCAACUAGCCCUUAAAAUGGUAUGGCGCUCAAGCAUUCUCCCGAUACUCGACCGCCGGUGGCACUACAGGCCAAGCUGCCCCUCUGGCGGGGGGCAGCCCAGGUCUCCAAGCCCCGGCGAGUAGGAGGGUCGCAGGGGUGAGCGCUGAAGGGAUCCGGCGUGAGCCGGCCUGGAGCCGCCCCUGGUGCAGAUCUUGGUGGUAGUAGCAAAUAGUCGAGAGAGACUUCCCUUGAAGGCCGAUGUGGAGAAGGGUUCCAUGUGAACAUCAGUUGGACAUGGGUUAGUCGCUCCUAAGCCCAAGGCUAAAGCCUUAUCCCACGCG